rnacentral:rRNA from 1 species
UACGGGGGGGGUAAGCGUUGUUCGGAAUUACUGGGCGUAAAGGGCUCGUAGGCGGCCAACUAAGUCAGACGUGAAAUCCCUCAGCUUAACUGGGGAACUGCGUCUGAUACUGGAUGGCUUGAGUGUGGGAGAGGGAUGCGGAAUUCCAGGUGUAGCGGUGAAAUGCGUAGAUAUCUGGAGGAACACCGGUGGCGAAGGCGGCAUCCUGGACCACGACUGACGCUGAGGAGCGAAAGCCAGGGGAGCAAACGGG